rnacentral:rRNA from 1 species
CCGAAACUAAGUGAGCUACUUAAGAAUAGCCCUCGGAGCCAACCCAUCUCUGUUGCAAAAGAGUGGGAAGAUUUUUAAGUAGAGGUGAUAAACCUAUCGAACUUAGAGAUAGCUGGUUUUUUAAGAAAGGAAUUUUAGUUCCGCCCUAAGUUUUAAACUGAACAGAAAGUUUACCUAAACUUAGGAGUUAUUCAAAUAAGGCACAGCUUAUUUGAAAUAGGACACAACCUAUGUUAUUGGGUAAGACAAUAAACUUACAUUAAGUGGGCCUAAAAGCAGCCACCUUUAAAAUAGCGUCAAAGCUUAUUUUAACAAUUUUACAUAAUUUCUCAAACUAUCUCAAACCCGCAUUUUCUAUUAAAAAACUCCAUAAAAAUAUGGAAGCUACUAUGUUAGAACGAGUAACAAGAAAAAGAACUUCUCCAAAAUGUAAGCUUAAGCCAUAAUAGACACACUACUGGCAAUUAACGCGCAUAAACAAACUAUAGUAACACAACAAGAAAAUCCUAUAUUUUUAUACCGUCAACCUUACACCAGAACAU